AGCAGCCGCGGUAAUUCCAGCUCCAAUAGCGUAUAUUAAAGUUGUUGCAGUUAAAAAGCUCGUAGUUGAACUUCAGGCCUGGCUGGGCGGUCCGCCUUCCGGGCGAGUACUGCCUGUGGUCGGGUCCUACCUUCUGGCGAAGCGUCAUGGCCUUAACCGGCCGUGGCGGGGAACCAGGACUUUUACUGUGAAAAAAUUAGAGUGUUACAAAGCAGGCACGCGCUUGAAUACAUUAGCAUGGAAUAAUGGAAUAGGACAGUGGUUCUAUUUGUUGGUUUCUAGGACCGUUGUAAUGAUUAAUAGGGAUAGUUGGGGGCAUUAGUAUUCAAUUGUCAGAGGUGAAAUUCUUGGAUUUAUUGAAGACUAACUACUGCGAAAGCAUUUGCCAAGGAUGUUUUCAUUAAUCAAGAACGAAAGUUAGGGGAUCGAAGACGAUCAGAUACCGUCGUAGUCUUAACCAUAAACUAUGCCGACUAGGAAUCGGGCGAUGUUGACAAAAUGAACGCGCUACGGCACCUCAUAC
rnacentral:rRNA from 1 species